rnacentral:lncRNA from 1 species
UCCAUGGCGCUGCGCGUGGCAAUAACGCGCUGCAGCCCGCGGGCGGAAAAAAGUGUCCGGUGCCUGAGGGCAGUCGAGAAGGCCGAGAGAAAAGCCGCAGUUGUCAACGAGGGGCUAUGAGCUGAUGCUCCUCCAGAACCACGAUAGAGCAUCUUCUGCAGCUGGUCAUAGAAACAGAAGCUGCUGAAGGGUGGCUAGGAAGAACUGCGAGCCCGAGUAAGGUCACACGGGGACUGGAGGCUUCUCAGAGAAGUGAAGGAGAGGUGAAAUGCAGCCCGCUGAAUAGAACGCAUGAAUUAACACAGAAGUUAGAGUGAGACAGAAAGCAUGCCUCAUUGGAGCUGGCAAACAGGAGCAAACAGCAAAAGCCUCAAGACAUGUAAGAUGGAAGAAGGAACUAACAUGAAGAAAACUGAACCCAACAAACAGUGAGCAAAUCAAGAUUGCUCUACACAAGCAUCCCCAAAUCAUGGGGCAAGUAGCAGGGCAGCAAUCCUGGAGCCAGCUUACUGUGGGGGUCAUAUGGGCUUAACUUCUGAUUGAGGAGAACCAAGAGGAAAACGAACCCUUCAGAAUCAGAAACUUUAUCCCUCUGAUGUUUAAAAGACCUUGUAUUUGACAGGACAGCUUUGAAGAUAAAGACCGAAGCACUCUCCAGCUACAGGCUGUUCAGCACCCCACACUGCUAUGUACUAUGUGCACUUCACUUCAGUUUCUCAGAGUUCAGUCAUAUUAGAAAGGAGAUAGUGGAGACAUUUUUUAGUAUAUUGUACUAUGUUUUUGAGGCUUCUGUAUCUUGCCCAAGCUCUCUUUACAGAGCCUGGAAGAGCUCAGCUCCAUUCUACACAUUCCCAUCAUCAUUCCUUCCCACUGUACUCUGUUAGACUGGCCUGUUGCUCUUG